UAGGAAGAGGUGCGGUUGCUAGGUAACAUUACUGACUGAGUUCCAACACGCAAGUAAUGUGAGGGAGUUAACCGCCGAGGUAGUUCAUUGGUUGGACAAUGUGUUACCGACUGUUGGGUUUGAAAACCUGCAGUUGUCACCUAUCGGGUGGAGAGCUUCUGG
rnacentral:ncRNA from 1 species